rnacentral:rRNA from 1 species
AGAAUCAACGCUGGCGGCGUGCCUAACGACAUGCAAGUCGAACGAGAAAGUGGAGCAAUCCAUUAGUAAAGUGGCGCACGGGUGAGUAACACGUGACUAACCUACCCUUGAGUGGGGGGAUAACCUAGAGAAAUCUGGGCUAAUACCGCAUAAUACCUUCGGGUCAAAGGAGCAAUUCGCUUAAGGAGGGGGUCGCGGCCGAUUAGUUAGUUGGCGGGGUAAUGGCCCACCAAGACUAUGAUCGGUAUCCGGCCUGAGAGGGCGCACGGACACACUGGAACUGAAACACGGUCCAGACUCCUACGGGAGGCAGCAGUGGGGAAUUUGCGCAAUGGGGGAAACCCUGACGCAGCAACGCCGCGUGGAGGAUGAAGCCCCUUGGGGCGUAAACUCCUUUCGAUCGGGACGAUAAUGACGGUACCGAGAGAAGAAGCCCCGGCUAACUUCGACGCCAGCAGCCGC